ACGCCUGAUGGUGAAACGGUUAUCAUGCUUGCCUUCCAAGCAAGCGGUAGGGGUUCGACUCCCCUUCGGCGUA